AAGGGUGGAAUGAGUAUCUUUGGAUGCUCAUUUCGUAUUUUUUUUUUUGCAGUCUCAAGCAAUAGAGUCGUUUAUCAAGUAAAAGAGGUUGAUCAUGAAGCUCUUAAGCGACAUCAUAUGGUAAUGCACAUGGUACUGGAGAUGUUAGAAAACAAGAAUUCCUUAUGGCUUCUACUAUCCUUAAGGGUGUAUUUUCAUAUUGAUUAUUCAAAAAAGAAAAGAAACACGAUCUAUGUGACACAUGACA